CGCUCUGGGUUGAGCCUACGUCGGAUUAGCUAGUUGGUGGGGUAAAAGCCUACCAAGGCGACGAUCCGUAGCUGGUCUGAGAGGAUGACCAGCCACACUGGGACUGAGACACGGCCCAGACUCCUACGGGAGGCAGCAGUGGGGAAUCUUGCACAAUGGGCGAAAGCCUGAUGCAGCGAUGCCGCGUGAGUGAAGAAGGCCUUUGGGUUGUAAAGCUCUUUUGUCGGGAAAGAUAAUGACUGUACCCGAAGAAUAAGGUCCGGCUAACUUCGUGCCAGCAGCCGCGGUAAUACGAAGGGACCUAGCGUAGUUCGGAAUUACUGGGCGUAAAGAGUAUGUAGGCGGCUAGAUAAGUUAAUUGUGAAAGCCCAAAGCUUAACUUUGGAAUUGCAAUUAAAACUAUUUAGCUGGAGUAUGAUAGAGGAAAGCGGAAUACAUAGUGUAGAGGUGAAAUUCGUAGAUAUUAUGUAGAACACCAGUUGCGAAGGCGGCUUUCUGGAUCAUUACUGACGCUGAGAUACGAAAGUAUGGGUAGCGAAGAGGAUUAGAUACCCUCGUAGUCCAUACCAUAAACGAUGAUUAUUAGAUGUGGGGAAUUAUUUCUCUGUAUCAUAGCUAACGCGUGAAGUAGACCGCCUGGGGAGUACGGUCGCAAGAUUAAAACUCAAAUGAAUUGACGGGGGCCCGCACAAGCGGUGGAUUAUGUGGAUUAAUUCGAUGCAACGCGAAAAACCUUACCUGGCCUUGACAUGUAACGAACUUUCCAGAGAUGGAUUGGUGCUCGAAAGAGAGCGUUAACACAGGUGCUGCAUGGCUGUCGUCAGCUCGUGUCGUGAGAUGUUGGGUUAAGUCCCGCAACGAGCGCAACCCUUGCCAUUAAUUGCCAUCAUUUAGUUGGGCACUUUAAUGGGACUGCCGGUGACAAACCGGAGGAAGGUGGGGAUGACGUCAAGUCCUCAUGGCCCUUAUGGCCAGGGCUUCACACGUAAUACAAUGGUCGGUACAGAGGGUUGCCAAGCCGCGAGGUGGAGCCAAUCCCAGAAAGCCGAUCGUAGUCCGGAUUGUAGUCUGCAACUCGACUACAUGAAGUCGGAAUCGCUAGUAAUCGCGGAUCAGCAUGUCGCGGUGAAUACGUUCCC
rnacentral:rRNA from 1 species